rnacentral:tRNA from 1 species
UAUAUUUUAGUGUAUGAUGCACAAAGGUUUUUGAUACCUUUAGAGAUAGUUUGAUUCUAUUAAAUAUAA